rnacentral:rRNA from 1 species
GACGAACGCUGGCGGCGUGCUUAACACAUGCAAGUCGAACGAUGAAGCCCAGCUUGCUGGGUGGAUUAGUGGCGAACGGGUGAGUAACACGUGGGCAACCUGCCCAAACUCUGGGAUAACUCCUCGAAAGAGGUGCUAAUACCGGAUACGAACUAGACAGACAUCUGUACUAGUUGGAAAGUUUUUCGGUUUGGGAUGGGCCCGCGGCCUAUCAGCUUGUUGGUGAGGUAACGGCUCACCAAGGCUACGUCGGGUAACCGGCCUGAGAGGGCGACCGGUCACACUGGGACUGAGACACGGCCCAGACUCCUACGGGAGGCAGCAGUGGGGAAUAUUGCGCAAUGGGCGAAAGCCUGACGCAGCGACGCCGCGUGAGGGAUGAAGGUCUUCGGAUCGUAAACCUCUUUCAGUAGGGACGAAGCGAAAGUGACGGUACCUAAAGAAGAAGCACCGGCUAACUACGUGCCAGCCGCCGCCGUAA